AUAUAGUUUAAAGAAUUUAAUUACAUGAGCGUGUAUAUAUAUAUAUUUGCAUACUUGUUUAUAGAGUUGAGCUAUGAUACUUUUACAAGUAUCACCAUCAUGGUGCUAUCAGGUUUUAAGCCAUUGGAUCUACUUUUUGAUUAUUAAUAGCCCUUGGAUUAAACACUAUUUCACCUACCAUCACCUACCACCACCUGCCACCAUCAUCUCAACCUCACAUCUCUCCAUCCGAGGGCUAAAAACACACAAGUAUCACCCCCAUGAUACUUUUACAAGUAUUAUAAUCCUACUCCUUAUUUGUAUUCCAAUAGUUGUAUUAAUCAUUA
rnacentral:lncRNA from 1 species